rnacentral:ncRNA from 2 species
UUAAAUCGAAGAGGUUGCAACCGACACCAGUCAGUUCGCUUAGUCACUGUAAUGACGAAGAGGCGGACCUAACAGGGACGUUGCCGAAGCGCUGCACUGUUACAGCAGUCAGUUAGCUGGGACGCGAUCCAAUAAAUCACGGACUGUCGCAGAUAUAUAACGUCUGCGGAGCGCUAUCGAAAAUG